CCAGACUCCUACGGGAGGCAGCAGUGGGGAAUAUUGGGCAAUGGGCGCAAGCCUGACCCAGCAACGCCGCGUGAAGGGAGAAGGCUUUCGGGUUGUAAACUUCUUUUGACAGGGAAGAGCAGAAGACGGUACCUGUCGAAUAAGCCACGGCUAACUACGUGCCAGCAGCCGCGGUAAUACGUAGGUGGCAAGCGUUGUCCGGAUUUACUGGGUGUAAAGGGCGUGUAGGCGGGACUGCAAGUCAGAUGUGAAAACCACGGGCUCAACCUGUGGCCUGCAUUUGAAACUGUAGUUCUUGAGUGCUGGAGAGACGGACGGAAUUCCUAGUGUAGCGGUGAAAUGCGUAGAUAUUAGGAGGAGCACCAGUGGCGAGGGCG
rnacentral:rRNA from 1 species